rnacentral:rRNA from 1 species
AGAACCAGGGCUUCGGCCCUGGGGACAGCGGCGAACGGGUGAGUACCACGUGAGUAAUCUGCCCUCGGCACCGGGAUAGCCCGGGGAAACCCGGAUUAAUACCGGAUGGCCUCUCGAGCUUUCGGGCUCGUGAGAAAAGGUAGCUUCGGCCUCCGGCCGAGGAGGAGCUCGCGGCGGAUUAGCUUGUUGGUGAGGUAAUGGCUCACCAAGGCGACGAUCCGUAGCUGGUCUGAGAGGACGAUCAGCCACACUGGGACUGAGACACGGCCCAGACUCCUACGGGAGGCAGCAGUAGGGAAUCUUGCGCAAUGGGCGAAAGCCUGACGCAGCGACGCCGCGUGCGGGAAGAAGGCCUUCGGGUUGUAAACCGCUUUCAGGAGGGACGAAGCCACUCGGGUUAAUAGCCCAGAGGGUGACGGUACCUCCAGAAGAAGCCCCGGCUAACUACGUGCCAGCAGCCGCGGUAAUACGUAGGGGGCAAGCGUUGUCCGGAUUCAUUGGGCGUAAAGAGCGUGUAGGCGGCCAGGUAGGUCCGUUGUGAAAACUCGAGGCUCAACCUCGAGACGUCGAUGGAAACCCUUUGGCUAGAGUCCGGAAGAGGAGAGUGGAAUUCCUGGUGUAGCGGUGAAAUGCGCAGAUAUCAGGAAGAACACCUAUGGCGAAGGCAGCUCUCUGGGACGGUACUGACGCUGAGACGCGAAAGCGUGGGGAGCGAACAGGAUUAGAUACCCUGGUAGUCCACGCCGUAAACGAUGGGAACUAGGUGUGGGCGGUGUCGACUCCGUCCGUG